UACGUAGGGUGCAAGCGUUAAUCGGAAUUACUGGGCGUAAAGCGUGCGCAGGCGGUUGUGCAAGACAGAUGUGAAAUCCCCUGGCUCAACCUGGGAACUGCAUUUGUGACUGCACGGCUAGAGUGUGUCAGAGGGGGGUAGAAUUCCACGUGUAGCAGUGAAAUGCGUAGAUAUGUGGAGGAAUACCGAUGGCGAAGGCAGCCCCCUGGGAUAACACUGACGCCCAUGCACGAAAGCGUGGGGAGCAAACAGG
rnacentral:rRNA from 1 species